rnacentral:tRNA from 1 species
GGGGGCAUAAUUUAAUUGGUAAAAUAUUAAUUUUGCAUGUUAAAGUCUCAGGUUCGAAUCCUGAUGUCUCCA